rnacentral:tRNA from 1 species
AGUCCUGUGGUGAAAUUCAUGGUGAGUUGCAAGCUCAUUGAUGUGCAUUGAAGAUGCGCCGGGACUU